rnacentral:rRNA from 1 species
UACGAAGGGGGCUAGCGUUGUUCGGAAUUACUGGGCGUAAAGCGCACGUAGGCGGAUAUUUAAGUCAGGGGUGAAAUCCCAGAGCUCAACUCUGGAACUGCCUUUGAUACUGGGUAUCUUGAGUAUGGAAGAGGUAAGUGGAAUUGCGAGUGUAGAGGUGAAAUUCGUAGAUAUUCGCAGGAACACCAGUGGCGAAGGCGGCCCGCUGGGCAGUGGCUGACGCUGAGGCGCGACAGCGUGGGGGAGCAAACAGG